rnacentral:rRNA from 1 species
GAAUUCUCCUGAUUUUAAGGUGUGUGUUAUUAUUCGUUUGUGGCUCUGUCUAGGAUUUAUAUGAAUCUACUCUUAGCUAAUUGGGUUUGAUAAUGAUAGAAUAAGUAGGUGUUUUGAUUGGCUUUAUUUUUUCUUGGUCUUCCUCGGUCUGUUUAUUAAAAACAUUUCUAUUCGGAUUUAUGAAUAGUAGUGCCUGCCCAGUGCUUUGUAAUGGCCGCAGUAUUUUGACUGUGCUAAGGUAGCAUAAUUAGUUGCCUCAUAAUUGGAGGAUUGUUUGAAAGGUUUGACUUGAGGAUUUGACUAGAUUAGGGCUUGGGCUGAAAUUGGAGUUGAGGUGCAGAUCCCUCGGAUUUUUAAUAAGACGGAAAGACCCCGAGAUCUUUAUAUUGUGUUAUUUGUUUGGGGUAAAAAUGCUAUGUUUUAUGUUAUUUUUGAUCCUAAUGGAUAAAAGGUUUAAGUUACCUGGGGAUAACUAGGUAAAAAUAAGGAGAGGUCGGAUCGAUUUAUUUUAUUGCCUAUCUCGAUGUUGCAUUGGGAAAAGUAAGAGGGUGUUAAGGAGUUUCUUUACUGGUGACUGUUCGACCGUAGUUUCCCUCAUGAGUUGAGUUAAGACCGCGUGAGCCAGGUCGGUUCUUAUCUAUUGGUGGUGGUGUGGAUUAGUACGAAAGGAUUGUUUGUGCUCUAGGUUAGAAAAAAAAAAAAAAAAAA